GACGAACGCUGGCGGCGUGCUUAACACAUGCAAGUGGUGCGACGAACCAGGGCUUGCCCUGGGGCAAAGCCGCGAACGGGUGAGUAACACGUGGGUAAUCUGCCCCGAUGACCGGGACAACCCGAGGAAACUCGGGCUAAUACCGGAUGUGGUGCCCAGGCAUAAGCCUGUGUACUAAAGGAAGCUUCGGCCUCCGCAUUGGGAGGUGCCCGCGGCCCAUUAGCUUGUUGGUGGGGUAAUGGCCUACCAAGGCGACGAUGGGUAGCUGGUCUGAGAGGACGAUCAGCCACACUGGGACUGAGACACGGCCCAGACUCCUACGGGUGGCUG
rnacentral:rRNA from 1 species